rnacentral:rRNA from 1 species
UCAAGGAAGUAAGGGCGUAUGGUGGAUGCCUUGGCAUUAAGAGGCGAUGAAGGACGUGACAUGCUGCGAUAAUCCACAGGGAGGAGCAAGUGUCCUUUGAUCUGUGGGAGUCCGAAUGGGGCAACCCAUCCCGAGUAAUGUCGGGAUAUCAUCUUGUGAAUACAUAGCAGGAUGAGGCAAACCCGGGGAAGUGAAACAUCUCAGUACCCGGAGGAAAAGAAAUCAAACGAGAUUCCCUGAGUAGCGGCGCACGAACGGGGAAGAGCCUAAAUCCAGGUUACGCAAGUAAUCGGGAGGUUGCAGGACCGCGUAAGUAAGUUGUUAUACGAUAGCUGAAUAAGCUGGAAAGCUUGUCCAUAGAGGGUGAUAGACCUGUAAGCUGAAUCGUAUAACUGCUGAAGCGGUAUCCUAAGUACCACGAGACACGUGAAAUCUUGUGGGAAUCUGGGGGGACCACCCUCCAAGGCUAAAUACUACUUAAUGACCGAUAGUGAACGAGUACCGUGAGGGAAAGGUGAAAAGAACCCCGGUGAGGGGAGUGAAAUAGAACCUGAAACCAUAUGCCUACAAGCAAUCAGAGUCCCGAUUCGUCGGGAUGAUGGUGUGCCUUUUGAUUAAUGAGCCGGCGAGUUACUGGAUAUAGCAAGGUUAAGGUCGUAACGACUGGAGCCGAAGGGAAACCAAGUCUUAACAGGGCGCUUAGUUAUAUUUAGUAGACCCGAAGCCAGGUGAUCUACCCAUGGUCAGGGUGAAAUGUCGAGAAGUCGACACGGAGGCCCGAACCGGUGUUUGUUGCAAAAAGCUCGGAUGAACUGUGGGUAGGGGUGAAAGGCCAAUCAAACCUGGUGAUAGCUGGUUCUCCCCGAAAUGUAUUGAGGUACAGCCUCAUGUAUGCCUUGAGGAGGUAGGGCACUGGAUGGACUAAGGGUCGGAAACGACUACUAAACCCAACCAAACCACGAAUGCCUUUAAGGUUUAGCAUGGGAGUGAGACUACGAGUGCUAAGAUCCGUGGUCGAGAGGGAAACAGCCCAGAACGUCAGCUAAGGUCCCUAAGACAGAGCUAAGUGGGGAAGGAUGUGAAGUUGCUUAGACAGCCAGGAGGUUUGCUUAGAAGCAGCAAUCCUUUAAAGAAAGCGUAACAGCUCACUGGUCAAGCGAUUUUGCGCCUAAAAUUCAACGGGGCUAAAGUUCUGCACCGAAGCUGCGUGAUCGAGCAAUCGAUCGGUAGGGGAGCAUUCUAUGAUCAUUGAAGCUCUGAUGCGAGUCAGGGUGGAGAGAAUAGAAGAGAUUAUGCCGGCAUAAGUAGCGUAAAAGCCAAUGAAAAAUUGUCUCGCCGUAAACCUAAGGUUUCCUGGGGAAGGUUAAUCCUCCCAGGGUAAGUCGGUCCUAAGUCGAGGCCAAUUGGAGUAGACGAUGGACAACUGGUUAAUAUUCCAGUACCAUCUAUGAUGCGUUUGACCUAUGGGGUGGUGUAGGAGGAUAGGUACAGCCGGGCGCUGGUUGUCCCGGCAAAAGCCUGAAGGGUAGUGGUUAGGCAAAUCCGGCCACUGUUAAGCCUGAAGGGUUACUUGGACCCCGAGCAAUCGGGGGAACUGGCUGAUUCCAUACUAUCGAGAAAAACCUCUAUGGGAGUAUCAUGGAUGACCGUACCGCAAACCGACACUGGUAGGUGGGUAGAAGAUACCAAGGCGGACGGGUGAACCCUCGCAAAGGAACUAGGCAAAAUUGCCCCGUAACUUCGGGAGAAGGGGUGUCCCGCUUAGGCGGGAUUACAAUAAAGAGGCUCAAGCGACUGUUUAGCAAAAACACAGGUGUCUGCUAACUCGGAAGAGGAUGUAUAGACACUGACGCCUGCCCAGUGCCGGAAGGUUAACAGGAGGGGUCAUUCCGCAAGGGAGAAGCCCUGAAUCGAAGCCCCGGUAAACGGCGGCCGUAACUAUAACGGUCCUAAGGUAGCGAAAUUCCUUGUCGGGUAAGUUCCGACCUGCAUGAAUGGCGUAACGACUUGAGCGCUGUCUCUGCGAGGGGCCCGGCGAACUUGAGGUACCGGUGAAGACGCCGGUUGCCCGCGACUAGACGGAAAGACCCUGUGCA